ACCAUCUGUGCAUGAUUUCAUUAAACAUACCAGGACUUGGGAAGUUUGAGUUAAGAACUGGCUUGGGCAUUCCAAGAUCAUAUCUCAGAAAACAUCCUGGAUGCUGGGAUUAAAGUGUAACCGUUGAUGAACUCCACUCUCCGCGAAAAAUAAUACCAAGAUUUUUGGAGUUCAUAGCUCACAAUUCAACAGUUCUUAAUCCUUAUACACAUACAGAGAGAUUUUCACAUACUUGUCCAGAAUGAAAAGCAAUGUAGACAAAAAAUUCUCUUUGAAC
rnacentral:lncRNA from 1 species